GCAGAGAGCGGAAGUACUUUAUGAAACAUCCAUGUUCACCAGGACAGACCAGAGCUGGCGUUGACAGUGAAAUACACAGCAUUAAAAUCAAAACUAUAACAAAAGAACCACAACGCCAACACAAGGGGAUGACCAACUGAAACUGAAACAGAUCGUUGCCAUGAUUAAAAUCAUGUAUUUCUCUACGUUUGAAAAUUGCUGGAAACAUUUGGAAUUAUAUAAGUGCACAACUCAUAAAAAAUAUGUAACAGGUCUAGUCGUUUUCAGACAUUUUAAUGUGGAAAAAUUAUAUAUUAUAGCUUUAAGUCAUGAGUGGGCUCAGGCAUGCUGCUUCAUUUUUCCCUCCUUAACAUGUGAUUGGCUCAGCUGUCAUAGCUGAAAGCUUUCAUUCAUUUGAGGCUCUUCACUUGAUGAAUGCUGCAUUCAGGUGUUUGGCAGUUAAAUGACUUGGAAGUGUUCACACAUUUGAAUAAGUUCAGAGCAAUUUAAAUGCCACGACUGAAGAAUGUGAGUGCUGCUGAUGAGUGUUUUCACUCUAUACACCCCCCCCCCAAAAAAAACAACUGCCACACACAUGGCUUUCAGUACUGUAGAUUCUUUGUCUUUUGUUUUUCUGAUUUAUCAUUUUUAUUGAAAUUAUUUAAAUACAUCUCUUAUGUAUCUGUGUGUAAAAUUAACUUGAAAUUUAUAAAUGGUGAUGUUGACAUGAUUUGGAGUUUGUGUUUGGGUGUUACUUUGUAUAUCCACUAUAAGCUUUACAAAUAAGGGCAUUUUUGUGACAUCAUGUUCAUUUGGGGGCAAAAUUAAGAUCACCCUUUCACCUGUAAACGACAUUUUAAACAAUAAUGUUGCUGCAAACAAGUAUUUUCUAUGUAAAGAUAUGCUGUGUACUCUUUAACUGACAAACUAUAAACAUUAAAUGUAAUAUAGGUACCCGGAUGGUGCACUAUUGAAAAGUUGAGUGUGGAACGCUGCUCACUUCACCCCCUAUGCUUCACCUUCAGCGGUCGCCAUCUUGUGACGUAGCGGAAGGGGAGGGACCACCAACGUAUUUCCAAACUGGCGACCGAGGAAAGCCGACACUUCUUUGGCGCCAAAUGGCAGAGUAAUUACAGUAUGUCGCACGUCACAGGGGGCACACACAAGAAAGUAUAACGUUCAUUUUCAAGUGUAGUAAUGGCGUCCUGAGCAGAGAAUGAAGUCACCCUCUUCACCUGAAUAUGUCUCUGUUUGUUUCCCCUCACCUUCACGUAUAUAAACAGAGCGUCUUCCCAUGUAUGGCCGAGUGAAGCGUGUAGCGUCCAGGUGAAAACUGCCACCUUGAACUUCCUCCAAUGAAGAAAGUGCGUUUUACGGCUAAAAAGGCAUCCGGCCAGAGUACAGACUGACGGUCAUGGGGACUACCAGCACAAAUCUUGGUCGGCCGGUGGGGCGUCAGAACAUCCAUAGAGUUUGUUUACCGGCUACAUCCGGCUUCUUCAGCGGAAUUCGCGUGGCCCGGUCCCGGUGGAUAAGUCCAAGGCUGAAUCUCUGUCCCACUCCGACUGUGGAGCCAAUACUGGUCCGGCUUUACCAAGGUGGAGAGCGGAUGAAAGGCUCCAGCUUGACUCAGAAGUGGCUUUUUCUUCUUCUCCAUGUGUCUUGUGGGAUGUAAACUGAACCACCUCGAGGUUUCCAGGAGAGUUGUGAGGGAUGGUUGGGAUGGAGUUUUGACCCUAGCUACGAGAAGACGCGAGGUGAUUGGCUGUUACCUGUGGAGAGGAAGCGGUGUGUUGCCAGGAGAAGCUGAGGGGAAAUCUUCACCUUCAUCUCGUUCUCUGACAGUUUGAAGAUGGAGAAGUCCUGCUGCUUCCGCUCGUGGCCCCAGACAGUGACCUAACUCCAUGGCGUGCCGCCGAGCAACUCAUUCAAAGCGGAGGUGUAAUUAGUAACAUUAACGAUGGCCCAGGUCCAUACAAGUGUCCCAGCGGCCAGGCUGUGAGCCAGCAUCCACAACACAAGGACCCGAGAACCUGCACACACACACAGCCGAGCACAGCCAUGAUUAAUCAGCUGCACCUGUGCUGUUCCUGCAGGAGGAGUUACCUCGCUGCAGCACACAGGAUAAGAGCUGAUCAGCUGAAAUGUGUAAAAGAAGAGAGAGCGCAGAUGGCAGGGAGACAAACUGUGAAAGUACAGCACACUGAAUAUUUUAUACUCUGCCUCCUGGGAGACUGGACAGUGACAAGGACAGAGAGGAUG